GGCGGCGUGCCUAAUACAUGCAAGUAGAACGCUGAAGAGAGGAGCUUGCUCUUCUUGGAUGAGUUGCGAACGGGUGAGUAACGCGUAGGUAACCUGCCUUGUAGCGGGGGAUAACUAUUGGAAACGAUAGCUAAUACCGCAUAACAAUGGAUGACACAUGUCAUUUAUUUGAAAGGGGCAAUUGCUCCACUACAAGAUGGACCUGCGUUGUAUUAGCUAGUAGGUGAGGUAAUGGCUCACCUAGGCGACGAUACAUAGCCGACCUGAGAGGGUGAUCGGCCACACUGGGACUGAGACACGGCCCAGACUCCUACGGGAGGCAGCAGUAGGGAAUCUUCGGCAAUGGGGGCAACCCUGACCGAGCAACGCCGCGUGAGUGAAGAAGGUUUUCGGAUCGUAAAGCUCUGUUGUAAGUCAAGAACGGGUGUGAGAGUGGAAAGUUCACACUGUGACGGUAGCUUACCAGAAAGGGACGGCUAACUACGUGCCAGCAGCCGCGGUAAUACGUAGGUCCCGAGCGUUGUCCGGAUUUAUUGGGCGUAAAGCGAGCGCAGGCGGUUUGAUAAGUCUGAAGUUAAAGGCUGUGGCUCAACCAUAGUUCGCUUUGGAAACUGUCAAACUUGAGUGCAGAAGGGGAGAGUGGAAUUCCAUGUGUAGCGGUGAAAUGCGUAGAUAUAUGGAGGAACACCGGUGGCGAAAGCGGCUCUCUGGUCUGUAACUGACGCUGAGGCUCGAAAGCGUGGGGAGCGAACAGGAUUAGAUACCCUGGUAGUCCACGCCGUAAACGAUGAGUGCUAGGUGUUGGAUCCUUUCCGGGAUUCAGUGCCGCAGCUAACGCAUUAAGCACUCCGCCUGGGGAGUACGACCGCAAGGUUGAAACUCAAAGGAAUUGACGGGGGCCCGCACAAGCGGUGGAGCAUGUGGUUUAAUUCGAAGCAACGCGAAGAACCUUACCAGGUCUUGACAUCCCGAUGCUAUUUCUAGAGAUAGAAAGUUACUUCGGUACAUCGGUGACAGGUGGUGCAUGGUUGUCGUCAGCUCGUGUCGUGAGAUGUUGGGUUAAGUCCCGCAACGAGCGCAACCCCUAUUGUUAGUUGCCAUCAUUCAGUUGGGCACUCUAGCGAGACUGCCGGUAAUAAACCGGAGGAAGGUGGGGAUGACGUCAAAUCAUCAUGCCCCUUAUGACCUGGGCUACACACGUGCUACAAUGGUUGGUACAACGAGUUGCGAGUCGGUGACGGCGAGCUAAUCUCUUAAAGCCAAUCUCAGUUCGGAUUGUAGGCUGCAACUCGCCUACAUGAAGUCGGAAUCGCUAGUAAUCGCGGAUCAGCACGCCGCGGUGAAUACGUUCCCGGGCCUUGUACACACCGCCCGUCACACCACGAGAGUUUGUAACACCCGAAGUCGGUGAGGUAACCUUUUGGAGCCAGCCGCCUAAGGUGGGACAGAUGAUUGGGGUGAAG
rnacentral:rRNA from 1 species